rnacentral:rRNA from 1 species
GACGAACGCUGGCGGCGUGCUUAACACAUGCAAGUCGAACGGAAAGGCCCUGCUUUUGUGGGGUGCUCGAGUGGCGAACGGGUGAGUAACACGUGAGUAACCUGCCCUUGACUUUGGGAUAACUUCAGGAAACUGGGGCUAAUACCGGAUAGGAGCUCCUGCUGCAUGGUGGGGGUUGGAAAGUUUCGGCGGUUGGGGAUGGACUCGCGGCUUAUCAGCUUGUUGGUGGGGUAGUGGCUUACCAAGGCUUUGACGGGUAGCCGGCCUGAGAGGGUGACCGGCCACAUUGGGACUGAGAUACGGCCCAGACUCCUACGGGAGGCAGAAGUGGGGAAUAUUGCACAAUGGGCGGAAGCCUGAUGCAGCAACGCCGCGUGCGGGAUGACGGCCUUCGGGUUGUAAACCGCUUUCGCCUGUGACGAAGCGUGAGUGACGGUAAUGGGUAAGGAAGCACCGGCUAACUACGUG